rnacentral:misc_RNA from 1 species
GUCUUGUUGUAGUUGGAGUUGAUUGAUUUGUCAAGGCCUUGCACGUAAACAUCUCCGAUAGAACAUUUAGGCUUCGUGGUAUGUAGGCUUAACCAUAAGAUCAGAGCUGUGACGCCUAAACUCACUAUCAAUUUGAUACAAUCACAAAUAUGUGACAUGUUGAGAAGUCAGAAAGACAAAUUUUAAAUUUUGAGUUAUGAGAAGAGAAGAAAGAAGAGAUGAAAGAAGAGAUGAUAGAGAGA